CAGAAAAGCAGGCAGAUCUGCUAGUAAGCAAACUACAGCUCCCCCGAGGAGACACACAGGCAGUGGGUAAGAGGAACAGACCCAUGGCUCCACUGAAGACACAGAGCAGCAGACGAAAAAGACAUGUCCUAAAUGUUAAAUGGUGGGUCUCUCUGUUCUCUCCUCCUGAGCCUGGGUAGACCUUUGUAACUGUCUUGACCAACAGAAUGUGACAGAAUGAUACCAGGUGACUUCUAAGACUACAUCAUACAAAGCAACACAGCUUCUGCUGGGCUCUCCCUCUCUGGACACGUGUCUUUGAAGCCCUGAGCUGCCAGAUUAAACAGUCCGGCUUGCCUAAAGUCACCACGCUGGAGAGACCAUCAGGGAUGGAGAGGUGCUACAGAAACCCUAGCUAUUCUAGUCCCCAGCCAUUUGAGUCUUCCUAGCCCAGACUCAUAAGUGAAGAAACCUUCAAGAUGAUUCCAAUACCUCCUAUCACUUGACUGCAACCUCGUGAAAGCCUAAGCCAGACCUGCACGGUGGAGCCAUUCCUAAAUUCUGGUC
rnacentral:lncRNA from 10 species